AGGCAGCAGUGGGGGAAUAUUGCACAAUGGGCGCAAGCCUGAUGCAGCCAUGCCGCGUGUGUGAAGAAGGCCUUCGGGUUGUAAAGCACUUUCAGUCGUGAGGAAGGCGGAGUCGUUAAUAGCGGCCUCGUUUGACGUUAGCGACAGAAGAAGCACCGGCUAACUCCGUGCCAGCAGCCGCGGUAAUACGGAGGGUGCGAGCGUUAAUCGGAAUUACUGGGCGUAAAGCGCAUGCAGGUGGUUUGUUAAGUCAGAUGUGAAAGCCCGGGGCUCAACCUCGGAAUAGCAUUUGAAAACUGGCAGACUAGAGUACUGUAGAGGGGGUAGAAUUUCAGGUGUAGCGGUGAAAUGCGUAGAGAUCUGAAGGAAUACCGGUGGCGAAGGCGGCCCCCUGGACAGAUACUGACACUCAGAUGCGAAAGCGUGGGGAGCAAACAGGAUUAGAUACCCUGGUAG
rnacentral:rRNA from 1 species